CGGGGUGGAGUAAUGUCUGGGAAACUGCCUGAUGGAGGGGGGUAACUACUGGAAACGGUAGCUAAUACCGCAUAACGUCGCAAGACCAAAGUGGGGGACCUUCGGGCCUCAUGCCAUAAGAUGUGCCCAGAUGGGAUUAGCUAGUAGGUGGGGUAACGGCUCACCUAGGCGACGAUCCCUAGCUGGUCUGAGAGGAUGACCAGCCACACUGGAACUGAGACACGGUCCAG
rnacentral:rRNA from 1 species